GAUGAACGCUGACAGAAUGCUAAACACAUGCAAGUCGACUCGAGUCUUCGAACUUGGGUGGCGCACGGGUGAGUAACGCGUAAAGAACUUGCCUCUUAGACCGGGACAACAUCUGGAAACGGAUGCUAAUACCGGAUAUUAUGGUUUUUUCGCAUGGAGGAAUCAUGAAAGCUAGAUGCGCUAAGAGAGAGCUUGCGUCCCAUUAGCUGGUUGGUGAGGUAACGGCCCACCAAGGCAAUGAUGGGUAGCCGGCCUGAGAGGGUGAACGGCCACAAGGGGACUGAGACACGGCCCUUACUCCUACGGGAGGCAGCAGUGGGGAAUAUUGGACAAUGGACCACAAGUCUGAUCCAGCAAUUCUGUGUGCACGAUGACGUUUUUCGGAAUGUAAAGUGCUUUCAGUCGGGAAGAAGUCAGUGACGGUACCGACAGAAGAAGCGACGGCUAAAUACGUGCCAGCAGCCGCGGUAAUACGUAUGUCGCAAGCGUUAUCCGGAUUUAUUGGGCGUAAAGCGCGUCUAGGCGGCAAGGAAAGUCUGAUGUGAAAAUGCGGAGCUCAACUCCGUAUGGCGUUGGAAACUGCCUUACUAGAGUACUGGAGAGGUAGGCGGAACUACAAGUGUAGAGGUGAAAUUCGUAGAUAUUUGUAGGAAUGCCGAUGGGGAAGCCAGCCUACUGGACAGAUACUGACGCUAAAGCGCGAAAGCGUGGGUAGCAAACAGG
rnacentral:rRNA from 1 species